rnacentral:misc_RNA from 1 species
CGCACAUUGCGCCCUUUGGUAUUCCGGAGGGCAUGCCUGUCCGAGCGUCAUUAUCACCCCUCAAGCCGCUUUUCGUGGUUUGGCGUUGGGCUUGGUCGUAGAGACCUGCGACCGGCCUCAAAGAUAGUGACGGCGUCCCAGAUGGAACCGGUACGAGGAGCUUCUAACCAAGCAUGUACGCGGCGUGAGUCUCGGGGGCGACGAUCUUCUUAACCAGUUCUCUUCGGAGGAUUCAAGUGUUGACCUCGGAUCAGGUAGGGAUACCCGCUGAACUUAA